UACCUUUGUCUGCGCAACGGUUUCCCGCUUCCGCCGCCGGCGGAAAGAGGAAUUAAAAGGGAAUCGGGUGAAAAUCCCGAACAGUUCCCGCUGCUGUAAGUUCCGCAUAAUUUAGUUCCGAACAUUCACUGCCACUGGUCUUUUUUUUAGUCAGACCGGGAAGGCGUUCGGAAUGGAACGAGUCAGAAGACCUGCCUUUGCAUAUUCAUUUUC
rnacentral:ncRNA from 1 species